rnacentral:pre_miRNA from 1 species
UCCCUGAGACCCUUAACCUGUGAGGAAGCCCAGAGGUCACAGGUGAGGUUCUUGGGAACU